UUCAGGAUGGCCGUGUGGUCUAAGGCGCUGCAUUCAGGUUGCGUUCUCCCUGGGAGAAGGGGGUUCGAGUCCCACUCCUGACA
rnacentral:tRNA from 1 species